GACGGAGGAGGCAAGCGUUGUCCGGAAUCAUUGGGCGUAAAGAGCGUGUAGGCGGCCCGGUAAGUCCGCUGUGAAAGUCGGGGGCUCAACCCUCGAAUGCCGGUGGAUACUGUCGGGCUAGAGUGCGGAAGAGGCGAGUGGAAUUCCUGGUGUAGCGGUGAAAUGCGCAGAUAUCAGGAGGAACACCAAUUGCGAAGGCAGCUCGCUGGGACGUAACUGACGCUGAGACGCGAAAGCGUGGGGAGCAAACAGG
rnacentral:rRNA from 1 species